GCGGCGGAGCGAACCCGAGCCCCAGGAUUCCCGGGACCGGAGGGCAGCGCCGGCAGCCAAGGGAAGCCCGCCUGGGAAGCCGAGCUCCGGUUAGAAGACUGGUGUUCGCAGAACCACAACAAGGCCUUGCUCUUCCUGCUUUGUCCAGAGGCACAUCCUGUCCUGCGUUAAGAACUUCUGCAGAUCGGUAAUUACAGAUACGGUGUGUGCACUCUGCGGACAGACUCUCCCCACAUUUUGGGGUGACUUGCUGUGUACCUUCCAAUAACAACCUCUUGCUACCGAGAAGCAGUUUCCUGGGAUGCUGAUUCCAUUAUAGAGUUGGCAGUGUCCCAGUUUUACACUGUUACUACUGGCCCCGAGGUAAGAAGGCUGCCGGAGAGGGAGCGGAGGGCGCCAAACCCAAGGGACCACUGUGUUUGCUGUUAGGAGAGCUGACGGUGCUGCUCUGAGAGUGUCCGGAGACCUGUGAUUUUGGAGCGAGCUGCAUUUGCCAGCUUUUAAAAACGUACAUUCUGGACAUGGCCUCUCCUCCCACCCUGCUGAAGAACCUGGACUCACCUAUAAGGAAGCCAAGAUGCAUAUGGAGAAUCUGGGGCCCCUGGGGCCACCGAGGGAGGCCAGCUUGAGAUCCUGGAGAGGAAGAGCGGUCCCUGCCCUCAGGGGCCGCCGGGCUGCCCAGCCUGAGAGGGGACAUCAGUUCUCAGACGAGGAAGCCCGCCCGUCUGAUGAGAGAGGCACCAUCCCUAACCUCAGGGAGUCCAGUGGAGGAGGGGAUACGGUAUCCUUGGUGUGAACUAUUCCCCCGACCCGGCAGAUAUCGCUGUAUCUGCGGCUUCUCUGAAGUCCAGCCACAGGCGGGGAGUGGGGCCGGCUUCGUCACACCUCUGAUACACGUGUGCGGAGGCCCAGCGGUUCUGAGGGUGAACCUGGGGACUUCUUAAAAUAGAUUUUAUUUUUUUAGACCAGUUUAGCUUUACAGAAGAAUUGAGAUGAUCGCAUAGAGAGUUCUCACUUACCCCACACCCAGUUUCCCCUAUUAUUAAGAUGAAAAAAUGUGCUGUGGUACAUUUGCUGUAACAAAUGAACCAAUAUGAAUACAUUGUUAGUAACCAAAGUC